ACGGUAGACGAGAAUGGCCGUUUAUGACUUUAGUACAGUGCUUGCAAACUUCAGUCUCCAUCAGAAUCACCCAGAACGCUUGUUAAAGCACAGACUGCUGAUUCCAGAGUUUCUGAUUCUAUUCUGGUCUGGGCUGGUGUUGGAGGAAGAAUCGAGAGGGCAUGACCACUGAUUGACCCACCAGCUGGACUCAGCCAGUCGCAGGCUCCGCCCACACCCUUUGUCUUUGGAAUGUACGCUCAGCCUACUUUCCCACAGUGGGAGCUGUUUCAAGGACGUAGCCUUGAGAGAGAAAGGUAUUGUUGAGACUGUCUGGACUGAAUAUAUGACUGAAUCCAGUUAAGGUCUCUUUAACUUGAAGGUUUUGGUGGGCAGGUACAGGGAUCUACUCGUCUUGCAGGCGCCCAAGACAAGCCUCCUAAGAGAGAGCACAAACGCAGUCCCCCACGACCACAAAUUAUGCAACUGAGUUUCUUUCACACAUUUGGGGAAAUUGCAAGGGUCGGCACACUCGGAGUGCAACGGAGGAGCCUUGCCCUGGGAAACACCACCUUCUUGAUCGUGGUAUUUCCCCUGCCAGUGGAUAAGAAUCCGCCUGCCAAUGCAGGGGACACGGGUUCGAGCCCUGGUCCGGGAAGAUCCCACAUGCCACGGAGCAACAAAGCCCAUGCCUCACAACUACUGAGCCUGUGCUCUAGAGCCCAUGAGCCACAACUACUGAAGCCCACACGCCUAGAGCCCGUGCUCCACAACAAGAGAAGCCACUGCAAUGAGAAGCCCGCGCACCGCAACGAAGAGUAGCCCCCGCUCGCCGCAACUAGAGAAAGCACAAGCACAGCAACGAAGACCCAACGCAGCC